GCAAAGAUCAACAGCAAGUUGAAUAGUACACAGUGCCCACAGGGUGUGACUGGUGCUCUCUCUCCUGUUCUUAAAAGAGAAGUGGGACCUUACAAGUAAUGGAACAAUUUGCUGUUUCAAGUCAGCUCUUACCUUUUUAUUCAUUUCCCUGCACCUCCCCACAAAUUUCUCCCCCCACCAUCCACAUCUUCCAGCUCUCAAACGACACUUCAUAGCAGCGACCCUCAUUCCAGCCAACAGACAGAGAUUUCACAAACACUACAUUUACUUUUUUAAACUAAACAAUACAUACUCUUCAAUAAAGUGUUUUUGUUUACACAGAA